GCCUGGGGGUGGCUAGCUGCCUUAGUGUGGCUAAUUAUGUUGGUGCGUAGCUUCAGGCAAUUGAAAACGUUGGCGUUUGUGGCUGCUCGAUGACAUGCGUUGCUGCGUGGCAGAAGUAACACCAACCACAGAGAAGCUGUGCACAGCAAUGAAAACACUGACAAGACGAACAGCUGUGUUGGAGAAGCAGUGAUAAGCAACCGUAUAAAUAGCUUACAGAUGUGACAUUUUAAAAUUCUACUUCUAAAAUUGAUGCUGUCUUGUUAAUGAGCUGGAAGACCGAUUGAGAGACUAGUGAGGAACGGGUAAAUCAUAUAUCCAGCUCCUGAUUUCUUGCCUCUGAUAGAUAUGCUAACACAUGCUACCUGCAAGUCAUUGGAAUAACAAAACCAUUGGGGCCAAAUAAUCUAGAGAUACUAAGGACUUGUAUAUGCAGGAAGGCUUUUUUGGUGUAAUCUAAGGUGUGGAUUUAAACUGAUAUAACCCUGUCAAGGCUAAUUCCCCACUCUGGCACUUCAAGUACAGAAGGUGGGGGCCCACAAGGAUUUUAAAAAUUAAUACUGGCCACUCCAGGCUUGUAUUAAACUCCCAAGAUUAUAGUUUUUCUCUGACCUUGGAUUGGUAGAUGCUGCCACCACCCAAGUGCAGAACCCCUUUGAGAGCUGAGGAAGGCGCACUUGGGAAUUCCUUCCUGUGGGGUACCCUUAAACCCUUUCACACACACCCCUCUGGGGAAGAACUGCGAAAGAAAACAAAGGAAAUUAGCUGUUGCCACCAGCUAAUUAAACAUGUGCACAAACCUCUUAGGACACAAAAAUUGAAUUCUGUUCUUAAAAAAGGUAAAUUUUAUUAAUAAAAAAAAAGAAAGAAAAUACAUCUGGGAACUCAGGCUAUUGCUAGGUUUAAAAAAAAACAACUACAAGGAUUAAGCACCAAGAAUAGCUUUUCUGAGGUCCAGCUUAAAGGUUACAAGCAAAACAAAAGCACCUGGGUUUAGCACAGAGGAAUUCACAAGCCAUAAAAAAAUAAAAGAAAUAAACCUAAUCACGUCUUCCUAGACAUUUCCUGAUCUACUUACGUAUCUGGGGUUUGAAAUGAGUAGUUUUUAGGUAUGAUACUGAUGAUUUUUCAUACCCGGCCCAAACUUCUUACAGCAUAGCUCUGCCCUGUCCCCUCUCUCCAGGAAAACAACCACAGACAGACAAAACGGGAGUUGUUUUUCAAAUUGAAAAAGUUCUAGCCUUCCCAUUGGCUUUUUUGGCCAGGGGCCCACUCACUUCCUUUUACCUGUGCACAGCAGAGAGACUUUUUAACCCUUUUCAGGUAGAGCAAUUAGAGAACAGCUACGAAGAGGGAUUUUAUAGCUACUGGUUGGCUGGGUAUCCAUAAAAAAGGGAGCUCCCCUUCCCCUUCAUUAUUCACAAACCCUGUUAUAACUUUUCCAUGUACACAAGCCUUUCGGCAGAACUGGAAUGUAUGUGAGAACAGAAUGGCUGCCCUUGUUUCGUGUGCUUAUCAGUAGCCAAAUUCUGUCUGAACAUGGUGACAAUGCAAUUGUGUGUAAUAGGAAGAUGAUGGAAUAGGGAGUGUAAUGAGAGUUUCAGUGGAAGAAGAGGAGAGAACCACAUACCAGGAAGGACAGCAACAGAAGAGGGUAGCAUUCACCCUGCGACCCGUUCUUCAUCUAAAAAAAUGUAAGUCCAGUACUGCACUUCAGGCAGGCUUAUGCAAGGAGAACAAUGAGUGUAUCAAGUUGUUGUUUACAGUGCUUGUCCUUGAAAAGGUUCAUUACAUCGAUGUAGCAACACUGGCUUUGUGAAAAAGCCAAAAUGGUCUUGCCCACACAGCUGGUCUUAUGUGUGUGAUUAUACUAGUGUAUACUCUGGGACACCUGAAGCACCUGUACCCUAGUGUGUAGUACUGUAGCUCUGGGCUCGUGUCUUUUAAAUAAUUGCCAAAAUGGCUACUGACCUACUGCAGUAUUCUGAAAGCAGAGGACUGUUUGGAAAUUUUGUACAACUAUCCUAGAAUAUUCCAGGCCUGGUCAGCAUCUCCACAUUCUGGGGUGCAAUCUAGACUAGUGAGGGGUUGUGUCAGUACUGAGUGUCUCCUGUGUUAAGCAGCUCUGACUCGCCAAUUCUGAUUCCAGUAGCCUGCUUGUUACACCCUAGCCAUAUUCUGGUUUCACCUGGCAAGUGACCCCGCCGUCCCCCAGUCCUGAAUUUUCCCGGAAACAUGUGCUCUGCAAUGUCCAGUCCUCUACUGGCCCAUUCAGAGAGAUAUUAAUGUUUGUUUGUUCCUUUAAAGAUACAAUAACCAGCAGCUUGCCACACUCACUUUAAAUCAAAGACAGCACUAGGUUUAGAUUAAAAUAAGUUUAUUAACAAAAGGAGAUAGCAUCUGAAGUGAGUUCAAGUACAAGGACAGAGCUAAAACUGGUUACAAACAAAUAAAAAUUAAAUACACUUUCUAGAUGCUCAGACUUAAAAAAACAAACUGGAAGGUAGUUUCCCUCCAGAAAAAUGGCUGACCAUGUCUAUAGUUAGCAUCUCCCACAAAGUACAAAAAGCUCAGUUCCUUUUUCUCCCUAAGUAAAAGAUCACUUGGGGUUCUCUAUCUUUCUCGCUCCAGUCCAGUGAACCUUAGGAAUUGAUUCUUUUGAAGGUUACCCCCCAAAGUAAAGUAAAUUCAAACUGUGAGGAAGGUGACAUGGAGUCUCCUGGUGAAGGAAGUUUCAUGCUGGUUCCCCCCACCCCCCGGUGUUUGCAAAACUGCAAGUUGAUCUGUUUCCUGCAACCUCCUCCCACUGCUGUCUUGAUGGUCCUGUUCACUGUCUAUGUAAUUUGCAUUGACAUUGUCUCUUAAUGUACCUAAAAAAUAUUUUCCAAGGAACCACAUUCCUUUGUCUAAGAUGGGGUAACUUUAGCCUUGCCUGAGAGACGCACGUUGAUAACAUAAUCCCGAAUGUGUUUGUAAUUUUGAAUUUGUCCUCUGUACAAACACCAUGCACUAAUAUUAAUGAUCAGUAUGAAAUUAGUUUUCUAUUGAUAUCUUACAUGACAUCUUCUAGAUACAGGUUAUGACAUUAGUGAGUUGAGGUACAUUGAACUGGUCAGACCAGCUGAAACUCACUACCAGAUACCACUGAGCCCCUUACCCUCUUGCACUGGGAUGCUGUUCCGGUCAUAGCAGUCUCACAUUAAUGUCUUCCUUACCGCUUUGUUAGCAUAAGCCUUACCAAAGUGGAGUGCUGUUUCUGGACCAGAGUCCUGUGCUGGGACCCUGCAACAAGUUAAGAUUUAUUGGGCCAAAAUAAUUUCCAACUGCUCUUACUUUUCAGAUGUUCCCUUUUCUUCUGACUUAAUCCCUCGACCAGACCACCAGCCUGGGCCCUGAGCCCCACUAAUGAAAUAUAUCUAUAAAUGAGGAAGGACACAUAUGAUCUCUGUGCAGAGCUUGACCUGACAUUACAGCACGAGUCCACGCAGGUGUACAUGUAUUUCUGCUAGAUAAAAAAUGCAGAUGCUUGGACUAGCAGAUACAAUUAGUGUCCAUUUUAGCACUGAGCUAGAGUUUUUUAAUUGGUAUAUUAAUUUAUUAUGCACCAGUGAGUAUGGAAAAAAAUCCAAUAAAAGUGACAUAUUACCCCUCAGAUUAAAUUUGGGAAUUAAGCCAUUCAAGUGCCUUUAACUGUAUUUAUACUGUGGACCACAUCUCCUCCACUCCCAUUUGCAGUGAGGCAGCCUACCUUCCCAUCCAUUCUGUGCAAUUAAAGGAUGUUGCAUAAUCUUCCCACUCCCUUCUGCUCUGUUCCUUUCUCUCUUCCUGUGUGCAUGUUUCUCUACUACCUGGCCAUUUCUUCCCUGUUUGUGGUGGAACCAAAGAGGAGCAGCAGCCAGCAAAUGUGGAAUCUCUUCUUCAACUACUAUCAAAUGAGUCACAACCUACCAUACUAACUCUUUGCUUAUGGAAAAAUACCAUGUUCUAUAAUUAGUAUAAUCAGUUAAAUUUUACUGAAAUACAUUAUUUCAAUUAUCUUAAAAAAUGAAGAGGGGUUACUCAGCAACUGAAAUCUUAUAAACAAAGAUUAUAGAUUAAGAUUAGAAAUACAGAUUGUAUUUGGUUAUAA